CUUCCGGGGUUAGAAGCGCCGGUGUUUACACAAAGGACGACGAUUCCAAUGGAUUUAAUGAUUUGGAGUGACAUGGAUGGUUCGAUAAAAUUGCCACUAAGGAUGACAAAGUGAGGUACAAGCCCAUGUUUCGCACUAAAAUGUAGUACGAGUGCAAAAGACUCAUUCAAGCUUCAAGACUGUUCAAUGCUUUUUCAAUGUUUGGGUUGGUCAUGGACUUGUUCCCUCAGGCAGCAGAUCCAACACAGGAGAGAAAAAGGAAUGAAUCCCUCCUAAACACCGAGUGCUACCUUAUCAGUCUGGAGUUGCUCUCCUUGGAGAUCACCCGUCCGCCACGUCCAGCCCUCGCCAGCGCGACGUCCAGCAGCCAGCUCCUUCCCCUGGCUUGCCAUCCGGCUAUCCACACCCGACGAGCGCAGCCUCGCCCGUGCACCGCUUCAGCCCUCCACCGUUUCCCUUUCCCUCCACAAUAAAGUAUGCUUCACCUUG